AGUGGAGCCAGCUCUGCCCCGGCACGUGGUGACCCGGCGGCCCGCUCCGCGACCCGCACCGGAUCGGACCUGACGAUGCCGGUGAUGUCGGCUAUGCUGGCGACGAUGUGGACUGCUGUGAGCCUCGCCCUUCUGGCUGCGUCGACGGCAUCGGCUGGAUCCAACAGCCCACCAGCGGCAGGUGAUGUCGUAAACAGCCCACCGGUCACCGGCCCCGAGGCGAUCCAGCCCGCACAGCUCCGCUGCCCCGCCGCCAGACCAGCGCUGGCCGACCAGCACCGCGCGGCGUUGCGGUAUCUCGACUCUCUCGGGGUACGCCGACUGGUGCUUCUGCAGGAGCAGCUCUUCUGCCCGGACGCGCAGCUGCUGGAGCGGGUGAUGAAGGAAGAAAAACUGACGCAGCGCCGGGAGACGCUCGUCCUCAGGACAGGUGCAGACUUGGCCCGGCUGUUCGUCCUCACGGGGCCCGCCGAAGGCGAGGUCGCCGUCCUCGCUCAGACCGCAGAUCUGCUCGUGAAAGCUAUCGGCGACAAGAGAGCGGGGCUCGCGAAGAAGGUGUUCUGGUACGCUCCUGCCAUGGAGCA
rnacentral:lncRNA from 1 species